rnacentral:rRNA from 1 species
GUGUCAGCAGCCGCGGUAAAACGGAGGGUGCAAGCGUUGUUCGGAAUUACUGGGCGUAAAGCGCGUGCAGGUGGUUUUUUAAGUUUCGUGUGAAAGCCCACGGCUCAACCGUGGAACUGCACGGAAAACUGAAAAACUAGAGUACGGGAGAAGAGGGCGGAAUUCCCAGUGUAGAGGUGAAAUUCGUAGAUAUUGGGAGGAACACCGGUGGCGAAAGCGGCUCUCUAGACCGAUACUGACACUCAUACGCGAGAGCGUGGGUAGCAAACAGGAUUAGAUACCCUGGUAGUCC